rnacentral:rRNA from 1 species
CAAAGGAAUUGACGGUCCCGCACAAGCAGCGGAGCGUGUGGUUUAAUUCGAUGCUACACGAAGAACCUUACCUGGGUUUGACAUAGAGGUAGUAGGGAAGCGAAAGCGGACGACCCUUCGGGGAGCCUCUACAGGUGUUGCAUGGCUGUCGUCAGCUCGUGUCGUGAGAUGUUCGGUUAAGUCCGCUAACGAGCGCAACCCUCGCUGUGUGUUACAAGUGUCACACGGUACUGCCGAUAUUAAGUCGGAGGAAGGUGGGGAUGACGUCAAGUCAGCAUGACCUUUAUAUCCAGGGCUACACACACGCUACAAUGGCCAGUACAAUGGGUUGCCAAGCCGCGAGGCGGAGCCAAUCCUAAAAAGCUGGCCUCAGUUCAGAUUGCAGUCUGCAACUCGACUGCAUGAAGUUGGAGUUGCUAGUAACCGCAGGUCAGCAAUACUGCGGUGAAUACGUUCCCGGGGAUU